GAUCCUGGCUUAGGAUGAACGCUAGCGGGAGGCUAACACAUGCAAGUCGGGGGGCAGCGGGACGUAGCAAUACGUUGCCGGCGACCGGCGCACGGGUGAGUAACGCGUAUGCAACCUACCCACGACAGGGGGAUAACCCGGAGAAAUCCGGACUAAUACCGCGUAAUGGCCGGAGAGGGCAUCCUUUCCGGCCCGAAGCAGCGAUGGCGGUUGUGGAAGGGCAUGCGUGGCAUUAGCUAGACGGUGGGGUAACGGCCCACCGUGGCGACGAUGCCUAGGGGGCCUGAGAGGGUGGUCCCCCACACUGGUACUGAGACACGGACCAGACUCCUGCGGGAGGCAGCAGUGAGGAAUAUUGGUCAAUGGGCGGAAGCCUGAACCAGCCAUCCCGCGUGAGGGAAUAAGGCCCUACGGGUUUUAAACCUCUUUUUCCGGGGACGAUAGUGGCCGACGUGUCGGCCAUGGACGGUACCCGGGGAAUAAGCAUCGGCUAACUCCGUGCCAGCCGCUGC
rnacentral:rRNA from 1 species